rnacentral:rRNA from 1 species
CAGUUCGGACUGUAGUCUGCAACCCGACUACACGAAGCUGGAAUCGCUAGUAAUCGCGAAUCAGAAUGUCGCGGUGAAUACGUUCCCGGGUCUUGUACACACCGCCCGUCACACCAUGGGAGUCGGGAAUGCCCGAAGUCAGUGACCCAACCAUAUGGAGGGAGCUGCCGAAGGCAGGUCUGAUAACUGGGGUGAAGUCGUAACAAGGUACC